rnacentral:rRNA from 1 species
AUGUCACAAGGAGGUGAUGAUGACAUGGCUAUAAGUGGUGAAGAUCCUAUGGCUGAUUGGGACCAACAUGUCACCCUCACUGCUCGAUCAACAAAUUUGGAUUCUACUGAACUUGAUUCGUACUUGUCAAAGGUACCCAUCCGUCGAAGUGAUCAAUUCAAUAUCCUUGCAUGGUGGCAGACGAACUCAGGUGAAUACCCAACGCUGAGUCGCAUGGCAGUAGAUAUCUUGGCGGCUCCUGCCUCUGCGGUGGCAUCCGAGUCCGCCUUCAGCACAGGGGAGAGAGUCCUAUCAGAUUUUCGAAGUCGAAUGACCGCAACGACACUUGAAGCUCUUGUUUGCUUACAAGAUUGGAUAAGGGCCACCGCUAAUACUCAACGUAGCUUGGCUUCAGUUCAUGACAUUUUACUAGACUUACAAGAUAUCGAGGACUGA